rnacentral:rRNA from 1 species
UUUAUAGCUUGCUAUAAAGAAUAAUUAGUGGCAGACGGGUGAGUAAUGCAUAGGAAUCUACCUAGUAGUAUGGGAUAGCCGCUAGAAAUGGUGGGUAAUACUGUAUAAUCCCUGCGGGGGAAAGAUUUAUCGCUAUUAGAUGAGCCUAUGUUAGAUUAGCUAGUUGGUAGGGUAAAGGCCUACCAAGGCGAUGAUCUAUAGCUGGUCUGAGAGGAUGAUCAGCCACACUGGAACUGAGAUACGGUCCAGUCUCCUACGGGAGGCAGCAGUGGGGAAUAUUGGACAAUGGGCGCAAGCCUGAUCCAGCUAUGCCGCAUGAGUGAGGAAGGCCUUAGGGUUGUAAAACUCUUUCAGUAGGGAAGAUGAUGACGGUACCUACAGAAGAAGUCCCGGCAAACUCCGUGCCAGCAGCCGCGGUAAUACGGAGGGGGCAAGCGUUGUUCGGAAUUAUUGGGCGUAAAGGGCAUGUAGG